GAUGAACGCUAGCUACAGGCUUAACACAUGCAAGUCGAGGGGUAACGAGAGGAAAGCUUGCUUUCCUUGUCGACGACCGGCGCACGGGUGAGUAACGCGUAUCCAACCUGCCCCCAACUAGGGAAUAACCUUGCGAAAGUAAGACUAAUACCCUAUAAUUUCCUCAGAUGACAUCUGACGAGGAAUAAAGAUUUAUCGGUUGUGGAUGGGGAUGCAUCUGAUUAGCUUGUUGGCGGGGUAACGGCCCACCAAGGCAACGAUCAGUAGGGGUUCUGAGGGGAAGGUCCCGCAAAUUGGAACUGAGACACGGUCCAAACUCCUACGGGAGGCAGCAGUGAGGAAUAUUGGUCAAUGGGCGGAAGCCUGAACCAGCCAAGUAGCGUGCAGGAUGGCGGCCCUAUGGGUUGUAAACUGCUUUUAUACAGGAAUAAAGUUAGCCACGUGUGGUUAUUUGUAGGUACUGUAUGAAUAAGGACCGGCUAAUUCCGUGCCAGCCGCCGCGGUAA
rnacentral:rRNA from 1 species